AGUUAAUGAGCUUGAAUAAGCAUAUGUUUUGAAAACAUAAGAUAGUUAUCUUAUUAACUAUUAACUU
rnacentral:tRNA from 1 species